GCCAUAGUAGGAAGAGUGAGCCGAGCGCAGAGGCUUGUACAUCACACAGGUCCAGUACUGAAUCGGACUGAGGUGGUCUGUGCGACUGUACCGUGCCAGUGGAUGGUGUUUGGCAAAGGCUCCUCAGCCCCCUGUAGAACCUUGGAGGGAGGACGGGAGCGGUUCAUCACUCACGCAGGAUGGGGUCCAGUGGAACCAGAAGAACCACAUCCUCCGCAAAAGGCAAAGCAGUCAGUCUGAAGUCCACAACCUGGAGAUUCCCCUUCUCACCAAGACACGAACGUGGUUGUCAACCAGCAGGAUGGAGGCUCGUCACGGCGGCGCGUGUCCACAGUCCCUCUGGCACACUGAAGCGUGGAGCCGCCCUCUUUCACUCGUCUUCAUUCAUGGUGGAUGGUUAUUGUCUGAUUAUGAAUACAGCUGGCAGCCUGCGCGCGUGUCAUUAUCCACUAUGCCCAGGCUAUACACGGCGUGCCAGCUGGCCAUAUCUUAUCUUAUCUGACUCUACCUUCUCCUGCACUGUGCGCUGCCAGAUACAUUAGCCCAGGCUGAUUUGGUGCUUAUGAAACCCC
rnacentral:lncRNA from 1 species